rnacentral:misc_RNA from 1 species
UCCGAGUUGACCCCGGCAGUCUCCCAUGAGUCCCCGCCAUUACGCGCUGGCAACAUGGAACGAGGGUUGCGCUCGUUGCGGGACUUAACCCAACAUCUCACGACACGAGCUGACGACAACCAUGCACCACCUGUGAACCAGCCCCAAAGGGGAAGGACUGUUUCCAGCCCGGUCCGGUCCAUGUCAAGCCUUGGUAAGGUGGGGAUGACGUCUAGGAACACCAAC